rnacentral:rRNA from 1 species
GGAUUAGAUACCCUGGUAGUCCACGCCGUAAACGAUGGGCACUAGGCAGGCGGGGUUCCGAUGCCCUGCUUGCUGGAGCUAAUGUGUUAAGUGCCCCGCCUGGGGAGUACAGUCGCAAGGCCGAAACUCAAAGGAAUUGACGGGGGCUCACACAAGCGGUGGAGCAUGUGGUUUAAUUCGAAGCAACGCGCAAAACCUUACCUGGGUUUGACAUGCACGGAUUAGCACCUGGAAACAGGUGUGACGCUCGCAAGAGUGGAACGUGCACAGGUGCUGCAUGGCUGUCGUCAGCUCGUGCCG